UAUGGCCAAAUCUUGUUGAAACACCAGUUCCUGUACAAUUACCAAAGUUAAGCAACAUCGAGCCUAGCCAGUACCUAGAUGGGUAACCACUUGAGAAUACCAGGUGCUGUAA